GGCAGCAGUGGGGAAUAUUGCACAAUGGGGGAAACCCUGAUGCAGCGACGCCGCGUGAGUGAAGAAGUAUUUCGGUAUGUAAAGCUCUAUCAGCAGGGAAGAAAUACUGACCAUAGGGUCAGCAGACGGUACUUGACUAAGAAGCCCCGGCUAACUACGUGCCAGCAGCCGCGGUAAUACGUAGGGGGCAAGCGUUAUCCGGAUUUACUGGGUGUAAAGGGAGCGUAGACGGCAGCGCAAGUCUGAAGUGAAAUGCCAGGGCUUAACCCUGGAACUGCUUUGGAAACUGUGCAGCUAGAGUGCAGGAGAGGUAAGUGGAAUUUCUAGUGUAGCGGUGAAAUGCGUAGAUAUUAGGAGGAACACCAGUGGCGAAGGCGGCUUACUGGACUGUAACUGACGUUGAGGCUCGAAAGCGUGGGGAGCAAACAGGAUUAGAUACCCUGGUAGUCCACGCUGUAAACGAUGAUUACUAGGUGUUGGGGGACCAAGGUUCUUCG
rnacentral:rRNA from 1 species